GAUGAAUGCUGGCGGCGUGCCUAACACAUGCAAGUCGAGCGGCAGCGCGAGUAGUUUACUACUUGGCGGCGAGCGGCGGACGGCUGAGUAACGCGUGGGAACGUGCCCCAAAGUGAGGAAUAACUGCCCGAAAGGGUGGCUAAUACCGCAUAUGCUCUUCGGAUUAAAGUCUUCGGACGCUUUGGGAGCGGCCCGCGUCGGAUUAGGUUGUUGGUGAGGUAAUGGCUCACCAAGCCGACGAUCCGUAGCUGGUCUGAGAGGAUGAUCAGCCAGACUGGGACUGAGACACGGCCCAGACUCCUACGGGAGGCAGCAGUGAGGAAUCUUCCACAAUGGGCGAAAGCCUGAUGGAGCAACGCCGCGUGCAGGAUGAAGGCCUUCGGGUCGUAAACUGCUUUUAUGAGUGAAGAAUAUGACGGUAACUCAUGAAUAAGCACCGGCUAACUACGUGCCAGCCGCCGCGGUAA
rnacentral:rRNA from 1 species